ensembl:rRNA 5S_rRNA 5S ribosomal RNA
GUCUACGGCCAUACCACCCUGAACGCGCCCGAUCUCGUCUGAUCUCGGAAGCUAAGCAGGGUCGGGCCUGGUUAGUACUUGGAAGGGAGAAAAUCCUGGGGAAGAUGGCU